UGGCCUACGGGGCGCAGCAGUGAGGAAUAUUGGUCAAUGGUCGGGAGCCUGAACCAGCCAAGCCGCGUGAGGGAGGAAGGUACCGAGUAUCGUAAACCUCUUUUGUCAGGGAACAAAGACUGGGACGCGUCCCCGGAUGAGUGUACCUGAAGAAAAAGCAUCGGCUAACUCCGUGCCAGCAGCCGCGGUAAUACGGAGGAUGCGAGCGUUAUCCGGAUUUAUUGGGUUUAAAGGGUGCGCAGGCGGUCUGUUAAGUCAGCGGUCAAAGCCCGGGG
rnacentral:rRNA from 1 species